rnacentral:rRNA from 1 species
CAUGCAGUCGAGGGGCAUCAGUUUGGUUUGCUUGCAAACCAAAGCUGGCGACCGGCGCACGGGUGAGUAACACGUAUCCAACCUGCCUCAUACUCGGGGAUAGCCUUUCGAAAGAAAGAUUAAUAUCCGAUAGCAUAUAUUUCCCGCAUGGGUUUUAUAUUAAAGAAAUUCGGUAUGAGAUGGGGAUGCGUUCCAUUAGUUUGUUGGCGGGGUAACGGCCCACCAAGACUACGAUGGAUAGGGGUUCUGAGAGGAAGGUCCCCCACAUUGGAACUGAGACACGGUCCAAACUCCUACGGGAGGCAGCAGUGAGGAAUAUUGGUCAAUGGACGCGAGUCUGAACCAGCCAAGUAGCGUGAAGGAUGACUGCCCUAUGGGUUGUAAACUUCUUUUAUAUGGGAAUAAAGUGGUCCACGUGUGGAUUUUUGUAUGUACCAUAUGAAUAAGGAUCGGCUAACUCCGUGCCAGCAGCCGCGGUAAUACGGAGGAUCCGAGCGUUAUCCGGAUUUAUUGGGUUUAAAGGGAGCGUAGGCGGAUUGUUAAGUCAGUUGUGAAAGUUUGCGGCUCAACCGUAAAAUUGCGGUUGAUACUGGCAGUCUUGA